rnacentral:misc_RNA from 1 species
GAAGUAGUACCAAUUAAAGAAGCUGUUAAUUCCCCUUCUUCCUGAUUCUGUAUUGGGAUUAAAUUGAUCUGCCCCAAAAGCUAAAUUGCAUGGCCUAAUACCACUAGCACCUACUACUAGAAAACCAAAUCCACACAGUAAGAAAGCCAAUUGUCCUGUAGUUGGUUCAAGGCAAAUGCUAUUUUCUGCAGUUCCACAAUGAAGAGGAUGCAGUUUUGAGAUCGCAGCUGUGAGCGUCAAAAACAACAUCCCCGUGAA